rnacentral:rRNA from 1 species
AGGAAUCUGCCUAUUAGUGGGGGACAACAUUCCGAAAGGAAUGCUAAUACCGCAUACGUCCUACGGGAGAAAGCAGGGGAUCUUCGGACCUUGCGCUAAUAGAUGAGCCUAAGUCGGAUUAGCUAGUUGGUGGGGUAAAGGCCUACCAAGGCGACGAUCUGUAGCGGGUCUGGGAGGAUGAUCCGCCACACUGGGACUGAGACACGGCCCAGACUCCUACGGGAGGCAGCAGUGGGGAAUAUUGGACAAUGGGGGGAACCCUGAUCCAGCCAUGCCGCGUGUGUGAAGAAGGCCUUAUGGUUGUAAAGCACUUUAAGCGAGGAGGAGGCUACUGAGACUAAUACUCUUGGAUAGUGGACGUUACUCGCAGAAUAAGCACCGGCUAACUCUGUGCCAGCAGCCGCGGUAAUACAGAGGGUGCGAGCGUUAAUCGGAUUUACUGGGCGUAAAGCGUGCGUAGGCGGCUUUUUAAGUCGGAUGUGAAAUCCCCGAGCUUAACUUGGGAAUUGCAUUCGAUACUGGGAAGCUAGAGUAUGGGAGAGGAUGGUAGAAUUCCAGGU